rnacentral:snoRNA from 1 species
CGGCAAUGAUGACAAAUGCUAUGGCUUUUCCCGAUGAAUAUUCGCGGUGGCCGCCAAAGAGUUUUCGCCUUCGCCAGGCUUGAGAACUACUGCAGCUUUUAUCCUUCCUUAGAUGUCUGAGUUC